AACGGCCGCGGUAUCCUAACCGUGCAAAGGUAGCAUAAUCACUUGCCUAUUAAUUGUAGGCUAGUAUGAAAGGGUUAACGAAAUAAAGACUGUCUCAAUUAAUCACCUAAAAACUAUUCCCUACUUGAAGAAAAGUAGAUCUCCUCGAAGGACAAGAAGACCCUAUAGAGCUUAAUUUUACUUAUAGGUCACACACUAUAAAAAUAUUCGGUUGGGGCGACCCAGGGCUAAUUAAUCACCCAAAAGAAAAAAGAUAUAUAAAUCAAUUAAAUGACCCUCAUAGAUCAAAAGACCAAGCUACCUUAGGGAUAACAGGCUAAUCCCACUUAAGAGUCCUUAUCAACAGUGGGGUUUGGCACCUCCAUGUUGGCUUAGG
rnacentral:rRNA from 1 species